rnacentral:rRNA from 1 species
UACGGAGGGGGCUAGCGUUGUUCGGAAUUACUGGGCGUAAAGCGCGUGUAGGCGGCCCGGUAAGUCCGCUGUGAAAGUCGGGGGCUCAACCCUCGGAUGCCGGUGGAUACUGUCGGGCUAGAGUACGGAAGAGGCGAGUGGAAUUCCUGGUGUAGCGGUGAAAUGCGCAGAUAUCAGGAGGAACACCAAUUGCGAAGGCAGCUCGCUGGGACGUCACUGACGCUGAGACGCGAAAGCGUGGGGAGCAAACAGG